UAGAAAUAAUAUGAAUAAAUAUAAAGUUCUGUGUCAAAAAUAAACAGUGUAAAUUUCCUCAAAACUAUUUAUUUCGUAUAAAAUUUCUUCGUUUACAUGGAAAGAAGAUUCCAACUUCAUCAUUGAGAGGAGGCUACUACGGAAUCGAUCUGGAUCUGGAAGGUUGCACGAAAAUGCAAGACGAGUCGUGUUCGAUUGGAAAAAAGCUGUAGACAGGUGCGGCACGGUGGAGAGAAAGCACUCUCUGCUCGAGUGAAAGUUCUCAGUGAGAGAGUCAACGCUGCAUUCCGCCGAGAGGACUGCCCGACUAAUCGGUGGAUCGUCUACUGGAUUAAAUAGGAGGAGUUAAUUCUAGUUGGCGAGGAGUGGUCGACUCGUUUUGGAAAGUUUUCGCUGGGCGAAAACGUUCGUCUUCUUGUUCCAAGGAUCGUCUAAUGGUUGAAUGAGGAGGAGGAGGAAGAUGAAGAAGAUAUUGGACGAUAUUUUCCUAAAAGGAAAGGUUCGUAAUUUAGAAAGUUGAAAUGUAUGAAAGAAUAUAGAUGUACGAGACAAUUUAACUCGUUAUUAUUUAUUAGGCGAUCGAAAAGUGAAUUGAAAUGUGAGAAACGAUCGAUUAUUCGAAGAAUACGAUUAAAAUAAUAAAAGAAAACGGAGCCGUGCGAUUAGAAGAUUAAUUAUUUAAUCGUUAAUUGUUCAAAGAUUGUUGUAUUUUCCAAGAUGAAAGCCAUAGAUCUAUACAAGGUUUAUAACCUGAUCUAUACACGGUGCGUUAAAGGCCGCCCCCUAUAUCGAGAAACCUAUAAUUAGACCGGUUCGUGCCUCUCUCCUAUGAAUACAAUUCUGAGGAAAUCUCAUAAAUAGGAGAAUAGUAAAUAGACCAUUGAUCAAUUUCUUAAACGGAUUUUUCCUUAAAUAGAUUAGAAAAAUUCUUCUAUAUAAAUUAUUAUUUUCGUGGAAGUAAAAUUUUAUUCACGAUGCAUAUUCACCAAAGUUUAAGAUACGAUUGGAAAAUAUUUCCUCCAAUUGAAUUUAAAAUUUUCAUCCAAUGAAUAUUUAAAGACGAAUAUUUAAAUAUUCGUGACACAUGCGUUAAGAAUGCGACAUUUAACUUCUUAUACGUAUUAUUCGACUUAUUUCUAUUUUGUGCUUUGCAUCGCGUUGUCCAUUAUUCAGUCUUGGAAUAAACGCGAGCCAGAAACUUCACUUUCAUUGACACUCGGGAAUGGCCGUCAAUAUGGUUAUAAGAACGUGGACUGUGUACGCAUUGCAUAUAUACAAGUAAAUCAGUCUUAUCUGUAUGGAAGCGAAGAAUCUUAUCGAGCGAGAUGUAUUUCACUGCGAAACGAUCGAGCUUCGAUCGAUGAAUAUUUAGUUUGAAGCAUUUCAACAACACAUCCUGCGACAAUUUACGGGAACGCGAGGAAAAGAGAAAAGUCUCGUGGAGAAAUCAGCGAGGCUGGUUAAAAACCGGGAGAAUCUGGAGAGUCCCGUGUUUGGGAUCAGGUUGGACGUUAUCAGGAGGAGGAGGAGAGAAUCGAGGGAGAAAUCCACGACCUUGAUGAAAGCGGCGCGCACGGCCACCGGUGACUAACUGGUUACAAAAUAUCUGGCGUGUUCAUCUAUCGGCAGAGGGACGUUUUCUCUCCGCUGGAAAAUCGGCGGCCCCUCUAAUUAAACCGUUCGUCCAACGAAACGCAUCGAGACGAUAAUCGAUUAAAAACGAUAAAUCAUCGAAAAGAUGAACGUUCGAGCUGCUCGAAAGGGGAGGGCUUUUAACACGAAUUUUUUUUAUCCCUUUUUAAAUUAGUAAUUUAUCAUAUAAGAAAUCGAGAGAUAUUGGAGAGAUAAAUUUCUCUAUGAUGCUCGUUUCUUUACACAGAGAAAGAAAAUGGUCGAGAUAAAAGUUUUCGUAAGCCAAAAAUAUCUCUUCCCCGAGACGAGAAUAGGUCGAAGAAAUGAUAAAGUCACGUCUUGAGAGAUGAGAAAGGUUAUCAGGAAGAGGGUAGAAUUUGAAUGAACGUAAAAGAUGAGAAUCACGGACCUGGAGUGAAUAUAGAGAACGAAUUUGUGCAAAUCGGGCGAGCGUAAACAAGAGACGUACGGAUGGUUAGUAAACCAUCCGUAAAAAAUUUGCAACGUUCGGAAUAUACGUGAGUCACGAAGAUCAAAUAUUCUUCUGAAUCUAUAAAUCAACCAUCGCUUGAUACACUCGUGGGAAAAAUAGAAUCUGAACGAAAUAUAACAAACUUUCACGAACGUGAACAUGUAACAAACAUUACGCAAAUAACACACGCGUCGAAUAUUUACACGAAUAAUUUAUCAUCGACAAUUUCUAUUUCUGUUUCGUCUCUACAAUUUAUAGUAUUAAAUAAUUUAUAAUAACAAUAAAUUUGAAUAAUUUGAAAAAUUUGCAGAUCGAAAAACGCAACGAAUUUGUUUAGGAUCUCGUGGAUCACAAGUGGAAAAUACAGUUGGACGAUAAUUGAGCACGGUUGUAUCGUUGAAAAGUUGGCGAGGAUCGAGACACGCACACACACAGGUGACCUUUCCGCAGGUGUGGCCGGUUAAAUAAUCGUAAAGCAACGAAUUAUCGCCGGCCGGCAGAGCGUGAAGAUAAAAAUCAGGCCGAGUCGUCGACGCAUUGAUCAUCGUCUCGCCUCGGGUGAAUUCGCGGCAUAAUUCACCUUGCCCCCGAACCAUAUCUCCAGGAACGCGGUGACCCGCGACACACUUGCCAGUUUCUGGAUAACCAGAUCCAUAUCGUUUCAACGCUCGUUUGUUUAAACCGCUUGGAAAUUCUAGCCUGGACAACCGCUCGUGGACAACGAACGACUCAUCCGUGAAUCGUCCUCGUCGCCAUUCUCCGCUCAAGAUUCCUAUUUUUUAUCUCGUUAUUCGACGCGUUUAUCCCAUUCCUCUACAUUUUGCGUUCUCGAACAGAUUUUCGUAAAACAUUUUAUUAUCCCCUCCACAAACAAUCACCUAAAAAAUGAACUUUGGGUUAUCGAGUAAACUUAAACGACUCGAAAACAACAAAAUGUUAUUUCUAUCUAUCGUGCUAAAAUAACUAACACCAUGAGAAUUCUCCGACUCUUACUUUCCAAGUAAAAAUUCCAGAAACAAGUUGGAAACGUUCGCGUAAACGGUACAAGAUCUCUUAAUAUUUUUAUCGCGAAGAAAGUGCACCGGAUGUUGCUUCCGAAUGAACAUGAGGUCGAGGGGAGGGACGACUCGAUAACCUUUCACCCCGAUUUCCUUUUCCGGCAACUCUCUCUCUGCCCCUCUCUCUCUCUCUCUGGAGAAAAUGCAAAUUCGAAAUUUCGUGGCGGCAUUCCGCCCACGUGGACCUAACCUCGACAUCCACCUUGUAAUUUAUCCCGCGCCAAAUAAGUCGGAUUUACGAAGGGGAACUGUGACGCGGAAGGCCUCGUAAUUCCUGCGUUGCCAUAAGCUUCAUAAGCGACACGGUGUACCGUUAUCGUAGAGAACAAGAGAAACCACACUUGACAUUGAAACAGUUUCUUCGAAGCCCCGUAUCUCUUAGAUCUUCGAUCUAUUCCAUUUCGAAUUGCUCGGAAAUCUUAACGGUACGGUUCUCCUUUUUUUUUUUUUUCCCUUGGCAACAGUUAAAUCCACCUUAAAAUCGUGCACGAGACGCACAAGAAGGAAGAUAAGAGUAAUCCGUGGCGAAGCGUGGUGCGCUUGAAGCAGAAACUUUCACUUACACGCGGCAGUGAACCGAAGACAAUAAUUUCUGUUCAACGGCGCGCACACCAUCCUUUAAUUCUUCGACCUAAAAGGAGAAAUCUAAAGGUCUCUGCAAAUUUACGAAGCCGUUGCUCGGUAAUUAAAACCUCUUGCCCCCAAGUAUAAGAAAACGUCCGUCUCCAAAAUGGCGCGGAGGCAAGCCACCAUAAAUUCACGUCGCGGGCUAAGCCCUUAAUUAGAGGAAACCACCGUACCGUACUUAUUUCCAUAAGUGAUUCGAAAAAUUCGGCAAUUACUUUUUUUUUUAUAUAUAUCAAGCCUCUUCUUUUUUUUUUUUUUUUUUAACGAGAAACGAGCAACGACCCUACAAUUAUCGAAUUUAUUUUAUUUUAAUAAAACCGUUACGUGUGUCUGGCUUUCUUCUCGCAAAUUAUUUUUAAAAUACGUGUUCUUUCCAAUUCGAGCGAAUGGGGAUCUGAAUGAAAUUAUCGAAUCGAAAAGUCGCGCAAAGGAAAGAAAAGGGAACGUUUGAAUUGGAAUAUAAAAUAUUUUGAGAAAGAAUAAAAAAAAGAGAUGGAGCGCCAGGUUGGAGAUCGUAAACCAGAAAAGCGGGUAAUUGGUCGGUGAUUUCCUCGUUGACGGCGAAGAAGGGGUACGUGCACGAAUCAUAAUUUGCAGUGACAAACCUUUGUCCACGGCCGCGUCCAAUAAAUCCCGACACAAUGGCGUAGCCCGUUGGUACGGGACCCCAUUACAUUACUCCUCGCGCCGCGAGGACAAUGCCGGCGGUGGAAUAGAAACAAGACGAAGAGCGUCGAAGAGAACCGGAACAGGUACGGAGGGCGAGGGAGAGGAACGGCGAGCGAGAGAAGACGAGGGGGCUUUAAACGCUUUUUGCCCGCCUUCGAUUCCAGAGGAGAGGAGAAAGAACGUUCGACUUUACGAGACUAGAUGCAUCAUCCGUGGCGGAAGUGACUUGUUCUUCGAGCUGACGCGUUAAGCAAACAAAAAAAGUAGUAUCUCUCUUCCUUUUUCAAAAAUUCAAAAGUUUGAGAAAUUGCGUUAUUUUCAAGCAUGAUUCGUACGUUUUUUUUUUUUCCUUUUCUUUUAUAAAAAGAUGAAAUUCAACAAAGUGGCUGCUGUAUUUUAAGAAACAAUAUCCCAUAACGUGGAAAUAGUAUAACAAUCUUGUAAAAUUAGUAAAAAAGAAUUACAAAAAUCCUCCUACUCUAAGUGAAAUAAUAAAUAUCUGAUAAUUUAUCUAUCUUUUCAAAACGAUACAACGAACGUAUCUCGCAAUUGACAAUGGAUAUCUAACAAUCGUAUCUGGAUCAAAGUGUAAAAACUAUAUCUGAAAUAAGGCUCGCCUAUCCUCGAGACCGGAGUCUAUAAAUACACCCAACCAUGACCCAAAAACCCACAAGCAUCAUUCGCAAACGUCCCUCCUCCACCCGAUCUCGAUUAUUCUCCGACAUUUUCUACGAGAUAAAACGUUCGAUUUCCCCGGGGAUUAAAAAAAUCCGUUUCGCGUAAUCUCACGCACGAAGAGAAUCGUUUUCGAAAUAGCGAAACCGUCUUCUUCCCAACACGGUUAAUCCCUUUUCGAAACGAGGGGGAGAGCGCGCCGAGGCCGAUAAUUCGAGGGAACGAUGGAGAAUACGGCGACACAUUUAUUCUGCCUUUGGAUCCAACCGCCUCUCUCGGCCGACAUCUUCGCGCAUAAUCGCCUGUGCGGACGAUUACGUGGAAGGACGCGGUUAGGAUGCAAUACCAAUUACAGGACGCGGUGACGUACGGCCGAUGAUAUUUUAUGGGGCCGGAAGCGCGGCCGCGGAAGAUUAGAAAUCGAAACGAUAUAUCAACCGUCGUGCUUGUGCAACUUCUCGCUGUAUGUAAGGUCCUAUAUUUUAAUUUCAAAUGGAAACGGACGGUUUCCUUGGAUAACCGUAUUUAAUACCCGCGAGAAUUAAUUAGACGGCAUGCUCUCGAUGUACGCGUGGAAUGUUAAAUUACAUUAUUCUAAGAAAAAUCCUUAUAACGAUCGUUUUUUCGGAAGCGUAGAGAACGUAGGAGGAUGAACGUGUUUUUAAAUUUCUAACGUUUCUUUCACACUUAUAUAUAUAUAUAUAUAUACGGUAAAGAAACAGUUGAACAGUUUUUCAUAAAAAUUACAUCCCGUAUAAAAAGUACCAUUAUCAGGAUACUUUCACGAGUGAUUUACGGUACACUCGUAAAAAUCUAAUUACCCCGAGGAAAGUAAAAUAAAAAGGCAAGCGUUAUUUUAAUACGUAUUUUCGAAUAUAAUAAAAAAGGAGAAACAAGAAACGUUACGUAUAAAACCAUAUAUCCUUAAUUACAAAGAAAUCCCACCAAAUUCCCAUAUCGUUAAACCUUUUUCCAAAAAUCUCCGUCUCUCCCUCCCCUUCCCAAAAAACGAAAUACAUAAAAUCCGAAUUAUAGCUUCAAUGAUCCCGAUCUUAUCUCGCGUUAAAACAUUCCAUCAAGCUAUUACAACGAGGGAACAACUGAAAUAAGAUGGUAACAAAAUCUGCGGGCUCGUAAAACCCGGCGUAAACCUUGUCAAGGAUCGCGAUACCUCUAAAGGGAGAAAAGGGAGUGGGGAGGGAGGAAUUUUCUCUCCUUUUUCCCAAACGAAAGACAGCGCGUGUACCGUUAAUUUAAUAAAAUCCGCCCGUUUUACGCGCGAAGCCUUGUUUCGAGAUAUACGAGGUAAACAGAGUCGUAAGACACGUUCCGCGAAGCAUACGGUGCGCCUUAAUAAAAUGCCACCGGUCGGAUUACUUGGCUGUAACUCGGCCUAACAUUGCUCGAAACGGGUGUUACGCAACGGAUAUUACGAAAACAGAAACGGUGCGAGUUGUCUCCCCUCCCGCGUAAGGGUAAGGGGAACGUGAAUGAAAUCGUUUCUCGAUGGAAUGAUGGGAACGAUCUCGAACGGGAAUCGCCGCUUCCUCGUUGUCUUUUCGAGCUCGUUCGACUCGAGUUGCGUUGCAGUUGGAAAGAAAGCGUGAACGCUCUCGGGAGAAGCACGGGGAUAUUCGAUAUUCCACUCAAGGACACGUUUUCUUUCUUCUUAAUAUUCCUAAGGAAUAAGGAAAUUUUACGUAGCAGCGAUUGCAUUACGCGGAAGAAUACGCGUGCAAUAAUGUGGUAAGAGAUAGAGAGAUAGUAGUCGUAAAGUCACGGCUUCUUAAUUUCAAUCAAUUUCUACGCAACGCGUUCCAUUUUUCCUCCCCAAUUUCUUCAUUCCCCUCUCCAUCGAUAUCCAUAUAAUAAAAUCUGCACGAAGAAAAACAAUUUCGAGGUACACAAGCUAUUCUCUAGAUAUCCUAAAAAAGACUUUGAAAAAAUCCGAACGAACGUUAAUAAUUAAAAAUAAUUGCACGCAACUUCGUGGAUAGGUGAAAAAUCGGGGAAGAUCGCCAUAGAGAUCGCAAAUACGGAGGAUAGGAUGUGCAUUCUCUCGAGUAAAAACAACGUGUGCAAUUGGCAGGAUUCUUUAUAGGGGUGAAACUAGCCGGCGGUGUUCAGCCGACCGGUGAAAAGUGGGCCCUUAUCUGGCCGCGUGGACAGGGGCGGAGGAGUGCAGGGGCCCCCGUUAUCGCGAGGAUGUCCUACGGGAGGACACAAUCUAAGUAGCAAAGUGUGUAAGGCAUGUCCAACUAUCGAUUGGCCGACGUAUCGUCGACAACGGAAGGUCGAUACUCGGUAGAGGAGGAGGGAGGGGGGUCCUCGUGGCCGAUAAAAGGACGACUGUUGAGGAGGGGGAGGGAGAGAAGAAAAAAGGCCUACGGCUACUAUCGCGCUACUACCGUUAAUUGAGGAUACAUGGAAAAGCGUUACUUAACGAUUCAGAUUAAGGGAACGCGUUUUUCUACUCGUCCAAAGAGGAAUUCCAGAGAGCACGGGACAGAGUUGCGUUUGUCGCCGUGAUUCCUUGGAGAUUACGCGAGAUCGAUUGGAACAAGGGGUUUAUUUUUUUUUUGGAAAAUUAUUUAAACAUUGGUUUGGAAAAUUUUGUUUGCGAUCCGACUUGAGAGGAUUUUUAAACGAGUUAUUCGAUUGUAGUAUAAAAAAAGGUUGAAGGGAAUACACAAUAGAGAAAGAUUCCAACGUGUCCUACUAAUUUCACGAAAUGAAACAAUAACUUCAACAACUUUUAACUCAAGUUUCGAGAUUGAGAAAAAGAUCUAUUCUUCUAAACAUUUUCAAUAUCCAAUAUCCAACCUAAUUGUAAUUUACAAGAAAUAAAAUCUUCU